UGUUCUUUUCUUUCUUUUCUUUUCUCUCAUACACUCCUCUCUAUCACCUGCUCAUUCUCUCUCACUGGUACCUCCAUACCACCAUCUCCACCAUCAAUUUAUUUAUUUAUUUUUUUUCGGGCAAUGUCACCGGAAAAUCCUUAGGAACCUCUAAGCAUCUUCACCUUUUAUUUGAGUUUUUCAGAUUUAUUAGCUAUACCUUGGGUAUGGAGCUUACUUCUUUGGUGAUGAUUAGAGUGCUAUAUAAAUUGGGGGACUGUUGCUGUAAAUGGUUGGUGAUUCGAUCUUGCUAUGUUCAACGAGACCUUAAUUAAUUCUAUUGGAGGUGGGUCGCUUGAGGUUUGUUAGCCUUUGGCAUGGUAGGCCUAGACUUGAUGUUAAGUUCCUUAAUCUUGAUAAGAUUGUGACUUUGUGUAAUUUAAUCAGAGUUUUGUAAUAUAUUCAUGUAUUAUGUGAAGGCACAUGAUUUUUAGUUAUUGUUCGUAAA